rnacentral:misc_RNA from 1 species
GAAAUGCGAUAAGUAAUGUGAAUUGCAGAAUUCAGUGAAUCAUCGAAUCUUUGAACGCACCUUGCGCUCCUUGGUAUUCCUUGGAGCAUGCCUGUUUGAGUAUCAUGAAAUCUUCAAAGUAAAUCUUUUGUUAACUCAAUUGGUUUCUACUUUGGUAUUGGAGGUCUUUGCAGCUUCACACCUGCUCCUCUUUGUUCAUUAGCUGGAUCUCAGUGUUAUGCUUGGUUCCACUCGGCGUGAUAAGUUAUCUAUCGCUGAGGACACUGUAAAAGGUGGCCAAGGUAAAUGCAGAUUAACCGCUUCUAAUAGUCCAUUGACUUGGACAAUACUUUUAUGAUCUGAUCUCAAAUCAGGUAGGACUACCCGCUGAACUUAAGC